rnacentral:rRNA from 1 species
CCUACGGGGGGCAGCAGUGGGGAAUAUUGGACAAUGGGGGGAACCCUGAUCCAGCCAUGCCGCGUGUGUGAAGAAGGCCCUCGGGUUGUAAAGCACUUUCAGUGAGGAAGAACGCCUGGUGGUUAAUACCCAUCAGGAAAGACAUCACUCACAGAAGAAGCACCGGCUAACUCCGUGCCAGCAGCCGCGGUAAUACGGAGGGUGCGAGCGUUAAUCGGAAUUACUGGGCGUAAAGGGCGCGUAGGUGGCUUGAUAAGCCGGUUGUGAAAGCCCCGGGCUCAACCUGGGAACGGCAUCCGGAACUGUCAAGCUAGAGUGCAGGAGAGGAAGGUAGAAUUCCCGGUGUAGCGGUGAAAUGCGUAGAGAUCGGGAGGAAUACCAGUGGCGAAGGCGGCCUUCUGGACUGACACUGACACUGAGGUGCGAAAGCGUGGGUAGCAAACAGGAUUAGAUACCCGUGUAGUC